UACUACGGGAGGCAGCAGUGGGGAAUCUUGGACAAUGGGGGCAACCCUGAUCCAGCCAUGCCGCGUGAGUGAUGAAGGCCUUAGGGUCGUAAAGCUCUUUCGCCUGUGAAGAUAAUGACGGUAGCAGGUAAAGAAACCCCGGCUAACUCCGUGCCAGCAGCCGCGGUAAUACGGAGGGGGUUAGCGUUGUUCGAAAUUACUGGGCGUAAAGCGCACGUAGGUGGAUCGAAAAGUUGGGGGUGAAAUCCCGGGGCUCAACCCCGGAACUGCCUCCAAAAUUAUCGGUUUAAAGUUCGACAGAGGUGACUGGAAUUCCCAGUGUAUAGGUGAAAUUUCUAAAUUUUCGGAGGAACACCCGGGGCGAAGGUGGUUCCAUGCCUCGAUUCUGACCUAAAGGUGCCAAAUUGUUGGGGGCAAACCAGAUUAAAAUACCCGGUUUGUCCCCCCC
rnacentral:rRNA from 1 species